rnacentral:rRNA from 1 species
AGAGUUUGAUCAUGGCUCAGGAUGAACGCUAGCGGCAGGCUUAAUACAUGCAAGUCGUGGGGCAGCAUGAAUGUAGCAAUACAUUUGAUGGCGACCGGCAAACGGGUGCGGAACACGUACACAACCUUCCUAUAAGUGGGGGAAUAGCCCAGAGAAAUUUGGAUUAAUACCCCGUAACAUAAUGAUGUGGCAUCACAUUAUUAUUAUAGCUUCGGCGCUUAUUGAUGGGUGUGCGGCUGAUUAGAUAGUUGGCGGGGUAACGGCCCACCAAGUCUACGAUCAGUAGCUGAUGUGAGAGCAUGAUCAGCCACACGGGCACUGAGACACGGGCCCGACUCCUACGGGAGGCAGCAGUAAGGAAUAUUGGUCAAUGGACGCAAGUCUGAACCAGCCAUGCCGCGUGAAGGAUUAAGGUCCUCUGGAUUGUAAACUUCUUUUAUCUGGGACGAAAAAAGGCGAUUCUUCGUCACUUGACGGUACCAGAUGAAUAAGCACCGGCUAACUCCGUGCCAGCAGCCGCGGUAAUACGGAGGGUGCAAGCGUUAUCCGGAUUCACUGGGUUUAAAGGGUGCGUAGGCGGGCAGGUAAGUCAGUGGUGAAAUCCUGGAGCUUAACUCCAGAACUGCCAUUGAUACUAUCUGUCUUGAAUAUUGUGGAGGUAAGCGGAAUAUGUCAUGUAGCGGUGAAAUGCUUAGAUAUGACAUAGAACACCUAUUGCGAAGGCAGCUUACUACGCAUAUAUUGACGCUGAGGCACGAAAGCGUGGGGAUCAAACAGGAUUAGAUACCCUAGUAGUCC